GAUGAACGCUGGCGGCGUGCCUAAUACAUGCAAGUCGAGCGAACAGACGAGGAGCUUGCUCCUCUGACGUUAGCGGCGGACGGGUGAGUAACACGUGGAUAACCUACCUAUAAGACUGGAAUAACUGCGGGAAACCGGAGCUAAUACCGGAUAAUAUAUUGAACCGCAUGGUUCAAUAGUGAAAGACGGGUUUGCUGUCACUUAUAGAUGGAUCCGCGCCGCAUUAGCUAGUUGGUAAGGUAACGGCUUACCAAGGCGACGAUGCGUAGCCGACCUGAGAGGGUGAUCGGCCACACUGGAACUGAGACACGGUCCAGACGCCUACGGGAGGCAGCAGUAGGGAAUCUUCCGCAAUGGGCGAAAGCAUUACGGAGCAACGCCGCGUGAGUGAUGAAGGUCUUCGGAUCGUAAAACUCUGUUAUUAGGGAAGAACAAAUGUGUAAGUAAAUAUGCACGUCUUGACGGUACCUAAUCAGAAAGCCACGGCUAACUACGUG
rnacentral:rRNA from 1 species